ensembl:lncRNA
CUAAGGAAUGAUCAUUAUCUUUAUUCAUACACACUUGCUUCCAAACUACAAUUAAUGUACCUAACAAAGCAAAUCAUGCAAACAAAGAUUAGAGGUCCUACAAAUCGAGGAAAGCAAUGCAGUAAUUUACACAUCCAUUUCACCUGCUAUAUAACCAAAUGUUAACUGACAGUUGAAUUACCUCUAUGUUCUGUCCUUAGGUGCUUAUACAGGAGGAAAACCUUAACGUCCAUUUUUUUUCUCCAUACAAAUUUGGGGUCUUAUAUGAUGUUUUUCAAUAAAUGCUUUAAAAAUGGCAUGGCUUUCAAAAAACAAAAACAGGUAACAUGUAGGAAAACCAAUUUCAAAUGUUUCCGACUGUCUAUAAAAGAUAUUCUGAAAGACCGUAAUAGUAAGGAUAGGAGGUAAAUUUUUAGAAAAUCUUUACUCAAAAUAGGAACCACCUGCACGUGUAAUUUUGAAUAGUUCACUGAACCCUCUCAAAAAAGAAUGACAUUUUUCCAGAGAGAAUACCAACAGGAAUCUACAAACAACCCCAAGAAGAGAUACUCCUAAAGUUAAGCGCAGGAGACAAAGACACAGCUUUAUCAGAAAGUGCAAAGCCACCUUUGUCUUUAGGGGAAAAAAAAGGUUUUUAUACAGUGAACUGGAUACCUAUUUUCUGAAAAGUAGGAUUCUGUCUACUCACAUAUGCAAUAGCUAUGAAACAGAAGCUAGGAGGCAAAUUUUCUGCUGCUUCUAAUUUCUUGGGAUAUUGAAGUAGUUCUGAAUUGCCCGGUGGGCAAAAUCCUAACAGGGCAUCUCUGAAUUUUCAUCAAAUGUGAGAGAUCUGGGGAUGGGUGGAGGGCUGAAAACAGCUGAGGAAGCAUCCUUCUCCUCUCACCAAAAGGUGGUUACAGAGCCUCACAGAGCAAGACAAAGGGUCCCAGAGACCCUGGGAGUGCUCCUCUAGGGCUGCAUCGGGGAGGGGGACAAUAUAGCCAUCUUUCCUACAGUUUGAAAAUAUCUGAACCUCAGGCAAUUAUCCUGUCUAUCAGAAACAGGAAGAACGUCACCCUGCCAAGUUCCACCGGAGCUUGCAACCCUUCUCACGUGGACGACCACACUCCAUCGGCUUGGCUAACUAAGUCCUGCAGUGGGAAUGCAGGUCAGGGACAUCCUAGCUGACCCAGGCUGUCUUCCUUCAGGCUCCACACAAUUGGAAUUUUACGAAAUUGUCAUAGCUUCAUUUAAAAAACUCAUUUUAAAAGAAUUAUUAAAGUUCUUUAUAAAAAGUACAAAUAGCCCUGGUAUGUUUUCUCUUGGAAUUAACCAAUUAAUUUCUUCCUUUAGGAUAAAAAAGUGUCUUUGGAACUUAUGGGCUUUAUUGUAGGGUCAUUGUAAGGCCAUUUGAUGUCUGUGACCCACGUGGUUGUUAACUGACAGCUGAUCACACAGAUGAGAGGCACAGGGGUGAGUUAUGCACACUUUGAGUCCACUGAGUGCAGACACGACAGAAUUAAUAGGUGGCAUCAUUCCUGGAUGUCUGCCUUCAUCCACAUACAACUCAGGUAACCUUUUCUAAUUUUCUCAAGUUUUCUAACAGCAGAAAUGUAUCGUCUUACCUAGUUUGCUGCAUUGGCUCAAAUGGGACACGAUGGGAAUGUUGACAGACCAGUAUAUUUCAUAAACUGUAGCCCAAGCAGCUCAAGAAAAAUGAUUUAAAAAUAUUUCCCAACCCUGUUGGUCAAGUUAAUGUGUACACAUGAAUAACCAGAGUGCAAUUCUCCUCCCUUAUCACCAUCGUGCCUGUCACUGUCCCUGUAACUGUCCUGGUCCUCACCCUUUGGGGCCUUUGGCUCAGCGUCCAUUUCAAAGCAGGUUGGUGUGCUCUGGAGGGGCCAGGCACGCCUGCCCUGGCGGGGUUACAAAGAAACAAGAAACAGUCUGUGUACACACAAGAAAUUGAUGACUUCAUGAGACCAAGGUGAGAAAAUGACUGUCAGAUGGUGUCACCUUCUGGAGGCUUUUAAAACCUAACACUCUCACUUUCUCUCUUCAGUACUGAGAAAACAAAUUCCAGCAAAAAAGCCUCCUACUUCUGCUAAGUGGAAGCAGGUGGGAAGUGCAGUGUUUGCUGUUUUUGCGACUUCUCCAUCCAUCCUUGGCAGCCAUAAUGCUCAGCAGGAAGUCAGAGAGGAAAGGGUGGAAGCAGCUGGCCCCCAGGCCCACUAGGUGUUCUGACUGUGCCCAAAGAACUGAGAGCCAUUUCAAGGAGGGGUGGAGCUUCUGGAAGCUGGUGAGGAUGUUGGUGGCAUGGGGCCAGGAGGAACAGGCUGUGUCCCUGGCAAAAAGCACAGUCUUGAAGACCAGCGGUGACUUGGUCUGUACCAGUGCCCCAGAUGGAAAGCCACGGAGAUACUGCUGCUCCUUGGCCCUUUAUACAAGGGUCUCUCUGGAUGCUCUCUUCUCUAGCUCCCAGCCAGUUCAGCCCCAACUCACUGUCCUUUGUCAGCAUGUCAAUGGGCAGCUUUCUUGGGGUCAACACCCUACUUCCAGCAAGUUCCUGUCAUCUCUGCCAAGGAUGUUAAGUCACAGAAGUGACCAACAAUCCUUUGCUGGGUCACAUUAAUCUUGGUCUAUGACAAUCUUUCAACCAAUCAACUCAGGACAAGCUUCCAGAGAGCUCUGUAUACCCCCCUCACCCCAGCUCUCUACCAAAAUUCCUAAUAAAAAGCCUAAUAUAUCCUUUGAGAAAAGGCAGACAGCAAUUCUGCAACUCAAAUGAGGCCACAGGGAUAAAAGAGGAGAUGUAGUGAGGAGCAAUCACUCUGGUUCCUGGGGUCUCUCAUCCACCUGUCAUAUUACUUUCUGCCUGGAGGUAGGCCUCCUAUUAUCCCAAGGGCUGCAACUGAUAGCAUGCUCUGGCUCCUUCCACUCAAACCAAGCAACGGGUGACUUUGGACGCAAUGCUAAAAGCAGGGGCUGCCAGCUCACUGGCCUACAGCCACAGAAGUUCUGCUGCUGAGCACCAGCCACUUUCUGAGGGAAAAUAACACAGAACAAUUUAAAUUGCCUUUUGGGGUCCAAGCCUGAAGGGUCCUGCAGAGACUCAGAUGUGCUAGAUUUUUGUCUACAGGGCCUGGCAAUGCGGGCAGUGCUCAGGGUCAGGUACUCUCUUGAGUCCCCUUCAAGGUCCCCUCUGAUGCCAGCCUCCAACACAGUUGCUGAAGUCCAAACACUAGGCCUUUCCCUGCUGUUCCACUUCAUGCAAGGUCCGCAAAGUAAGAAAAUGGUAUUGAAAUUUCCUCAGUAAUUUCUGUAGAUCACAGUUGUUAAUGGUUAUCCACAUAAGUUAGUCUUUCAGCAAUAACUGCCUUGGGCUGAACAGAUUUUUUAAAGCAUUAGCCUUUCUCUAAAUUUAAUACUCAUUGUAUAAAACAGGCUACACAAUGAACACAUCCUCAGGCCCUGAUUUUUACCAUUAAUCCCUCAACCCCAUCCCAGUUUGUUUUCCAGUCUGUUGUCCCUUAGGCAGAGUGCUGGCCCCAGGGUCAGGGUCCUUACUUUGAAAAACAGUCACACAUUCUCUAGGAACACAAGACAGCUGAGAGGUGGAACAUAUUUUCUAGAGUAGCAAUCAUUUAAAGCUGUGUUUUGGCUGAGGGAAAGCUCAAGCCUGCUGCUUGCUUAAAAUAAGCAGCAGCUGGGCACACUGGACAAAUGGUCUGUAACCUGUGUUCCUUUCCAGGACUUUCCUCAUCUCGUGGGGCUUGGCUGGGAUCAGCCUUGUUGCUGCUCCACCUGGGGUGAGGGGACUGACUUUUGUCUCCUAGGCUCUUUCUAUAAACAAAUUCUUUUCCCAUUAGACAAAAUGGAGUGUCUUGAUAAGGACAUGUUCCCAGAAUGUAAGCUGAUCAGCAGGACUUCAGGGGUCAAUGUGCAGGGACCCCUUUUGAGUUUUAAAGUCUAGAGUUCAUAAAACAUGGCCAAAGAAACUGCUCUUUUCUGGUCUGGCCUGUUUCCUACUCCAAGUCUCCUUCCAGGGAUUUCCAGGCCUCUUAUGUGAAAGUACCAGAGUAAGUGCAUUAUAUGAACUUCAGACAAACAUCCAGAGAGUAAAAAUAAGGAGAGCUUAGCUGGAGAUGCUUUGGGAGGAAACAGAACAGCUUUCUAUAAGGACCAAUAGCUUCUUUCAUUCUGACUCCUUUUUUGUGCUGCAGAAAACUAGUUCUUCUCAGGACAAUGCAUUGGGAGGAUGUCUUGCCAAAGGCAUGCUCCUCGCAGAUGGGGAUGACCAAUUCUAGCAACAGCUAGAAUGAAAUGUGCAGCUUCUGAAAAGAGUGUGUUGGUAACUGCAGGGACUGACAUAUGGUUUGUCUCACAAAGCUUGUAUCUUCUGGAACAAUGGUGGGUCAUUUUGGGGCAGCAAUACAGUCUACGUCCUUCUGGUGUGUCCAGGUACACAUAGCAAGUAGGGAAUUGUUCCAUCCAUGCUCCCCUCUAGUCCCCAACAAUCACAGGCUGAAAGAACAAAACACACAGACACAGAAACACACACACACACACACACACACACACCCCUUUCAGCCCAGGUGUUGUGACAAUGCCACAUGUACACAAACAUACCACGAAAACUGGAUUCAAACACUUCUCACUGUCCCCAAAAGGAAGAGGAACUCAAAUGAAAGAGGAUAUUAAGAAGCUAAGAGAGUCUCAUCUCAAAAAUAAUCCCCACAAACAAAACUUUGGUUUGCAGGUGGAAUCAAAUAUAUAUAUAUAUAUAUAUAUAUA